rnacentral:rRNA from 1 species
UACGAAGGGGGCUAGCGUUGCUCGGAAUUACUGAGCGUAAAGCGCACGUAGGCGGCUUUCUAAGUCGGGGGUGAAAUCCUGGAGCUCAACUCCAGAACUGCCUUCGAUACUGGAGAGCUUGAGUCCGGGAGAGGUGAGUGGAACUGCGAGUGUAGAGGUGAAAUUCGUAGAUAUUCGCAAGAACACCAGUGGCGAAGGCGGCUCACUGGCCCGGUACUGACGCUGAGGCACGAAAGCGUGGGGAGCAAACAGG